CCCUUAGAUGUUCUGGGCCGCACGCGCGCUACACUGAUGCAUUCAUCGAGUUUACAACCUUGAUCGAUAGGUCUGGGUAAUCUUUUAAAUGUGCAUCGUGCUAGGGAUAGAUUAUUGCAAUUAUUAAUCUUGAACGAGGAAUUCCUAGUAAACGCAAGUCAUCAGCUUGCAUUGAUUACGUCCCUGCCCUUUGUACACACCGCCCGUCGCACCUACCGAUUGAAUGGUCCGGUGAAGCCUCCGGAUUGGCGCGCACCUCGGUGCCGCCGAGAAGUUGGCUAAACCUUACCAUUUAGAGGAAGGUGAAGUCGUAACA
rnacentral:rRNA from 1 species